UUCGCUGCGGGGGACAGGAAGGAAGGUUCACCCAGAGCCCGCGCGCGCCCCCUAGUCCCCAAAGCCUGGGCCCCCUGCCUUCAUGAGGAUGGGUGUCAUACCUGAUCCUGGCCUAGGAAAAAUGGCAUCGUCUUAGUUCAGAGCGUGGUUGUCACACUCAGACUAGUCGCCCUGUCAGAAUCGGGGCCCAUCAGAGAUGAUGGGCGAGCGCUUCCUAAUGUUUCUCAUAGGCAGCCGCUUUCAGACCCCAUAAGCUGUUUCGGGGGGUGGGCUUGUUUCCUCAGUCAAUGAAGGGGCCAGCAAGGAUGAAAAUGUGACAAGAGUCAGGUGGAUAGCAGAUAAUGCUACCUAGUCCCCAUGUCCGGAGAGGCCCCAGUGCUAUGCUUAAGUGCCGGCCAUUACCCCCAAAAGGACACGUGACAUUGACAGAAGAGAAAGAGAAACAAGAAAGUGAAUUUCUGGGAAGUAAACAGGACCAAGAGAAUUGCUGUUUUUGAGCAGAGAAACUGGACCUGAGAAGACAAAGGAGCCCCAGUGCCUUCUCCUUCCCUGCACAGGCUCACCACAGCUGACACCUGGACAUUUCCAGCAGACCCACCACCCCUGGGCCUGAGGGGCGGUGUCAAAGCUUCCUCUGUCCCAGCGGCCACUUUUCACCUGGGUGAAACACGGACAGCAAGCUCCUGCUCCAACCACAAAGCGGCAAAACAGAGACAAACGUGUAGGUCGGUGAGUCCGGGUGUGUGCAGAGUACCCUCCAAACUUAGUUCUCUUCUAAUGGCUCACUGAGGACGGCCUCGGGAUGCAGGGGCUCCUAAUGAAACACCAGACCAGCUCAGGGAAGUCGAUGAGAGCUCAUCCAUCAGGACCGCGGCAUCCUCCCAGGCCCAGGCAAGGCCACCAGGGCUGUCUUGGGACACAGAGGAAGGGACAGGCCAAGCUCAGUGGACAUUAGGUUGCUAGGAAACCAACAAGUGAGAGCAAGGUGCCCAGUGCAGCGUGGGCUGAGGGAGUGUGCUGGGGGCUGGGGAAGCAGUGGCUGUCCUCAGGGCUGCUGUCUGCCCUGGGUGUAAGAGUGGGAUGUUGGGAUCCAGUGCUACUCGGGUCACAGGACCCACAACAGCUCUCCCUUCUCGCAGAUACUGACAGGUGCCUGACUGUGGCACUGUGCUGUGUGUGGGUCCCUAACUGACAGACUCUGGGGUGCUAGGAUCGUUCACCCAGGGAGAUGAGAGAUGAGUUCACACAAAGGCCACACAACGUGCUCUUCACCCCCUUCUUUGCCUCGGAAUAGGAAUUAGAGCCUGAUGGCAGGCUUGUGUGCUGAAAACAUCCCCAGCCUCAGAAAGGCUUAAGAGACUACCACUUUUGCCAUGUGGGCCCUGAUUUCCUCUCUAUAAAGGCCCCUGCCAUGCUGUCUGUCUCUGAUGCAGAGUGUGAGCUCUCCUCCAAGCCCCACCAAUCUGUCCCUCCAUGGUGUUAACAACUUUUUUUUUUUUUUUUAGACAAGGUCUUAUUAUGUAGCAAUGGCUAGCCUGGAACUCACUAUGUAGACCAGGUUGGCCUCAAACUCAGAGUUCCUUCUGCUUUCCCAAGAGCUGAGAUUAAAGGUGUGCAACACCACGGUUGGCCUAUUAAUAAAUGAAAUAAACUCCAUACUCCCAGUGAUCCAUCGCAGUGUCUCUCUGAAUCCCCAUCUGAGACCUUCCACCCGGAAGGUAAACGUGUUCAGGGGCUAGGCCAGCGUCCCACAUCAUUUUUAGCGUGCUGUCCUUCCAUGCUGUCUAUAGCUCCAGACAGACAGGUGAGGGACAGUAAACAAGCCCUGCUUGAUGAAGAUCCUGGACCAAGGUCUGUGGUGCUAAAAAAUAAAAAGUUCCUGUCACUUACACCUGAGCGGCCUCCCGGUCCUCUGCUGUGGGACAGCGAGACAGGUGGAGCUGCUGUGACUCAGCACCUCCAGUAAGUCAGAAGUCCACGGGGUUUCCCAGGUUUCGCCCCUUGGCUGUCCCUUGGGACUCUUGGAUCUACUCUAACAGUUACUAGUGAGGCUGCCCAGCUGAAGGAGGAGGAACAGAGACCUGGGGGGCCAACUUCCCAAGGCCAGAUAAAUAUCCCCUCCUAGGGUCUGGCCACAGCCCCCACAGAUGCCUGGGGAAGGAGUGGAAGAAUGGGGGUGACUUUUCCAAAGAGCCAGGCCCCCCAACAUUCGCCCCAAGGUGGGUCUGAUUAUGGCCCCCAGACCAUGUUCUGCUCUUUCUGAAGCCAGCUCUAUUUAUUUAUUUAGUUUUUUUAAAGACAGGGUUUCUCUGUGUAAGAGCUUUGGCUGUCCUGGAACUCACUCUAUAGUCCAGGCUAGGCUCGAACUCAGAGUGCUGGGAUUAAAGGCAUGCACCACCACCAGGCGAUUAAUUUUAAAUUUUAAGGCAUGGUCUUACUUUGUAGCUUAAGCUGGCCUAAAGCAGUGUGUGACCCAGGCAGGCCUAGAAUUCACGUCCAUCCUCCUGCUUCAGUCUCCUGAGUACCGGUAUUACAGGUGUGAGCCAUUAUGCUCUUUUUGUUUCUGUUACUGUUACAUGCUGUGAUGUGCUAUUUCUGUGCUCUGUGUUCUUGUACAGGACUUCCCCACAUCCAGUCCAACCCUGGCUUCCUUCCUCCCCCUCCCACUCUGCCCUGGGAUCCACAUGUCAUCAGGAAUUCCUAGAAACUGAGCAGGGACAGUUUUUGGGUUGGGCUCUGAGCAGGGAUGGACUGGCAUGUGGCUGUGACUCAGAAGCCCGAGAGAUAGGCACAGAGUACGUAAUGCCAUUGGUUCUUUUCCGUCCUACCACCUCUUUGCUGGGCAGAGAUGAAGGAAACAGAUUUGGAGAGCUAAGUUCAAGAUCAGUCAGCUGAGUAGCAGCCAGACUGGGCAAAUGCCAAGUCAGCUCCCCAGGGCUCGUCACAUCACACGGCCAAGUGACCUACAAAACAUUUUCCUCCUGAGGAUUCUUAGGAUCAUCAUUAGCAGCUGUAAGAGAAGAGAGGAAGGGCCUGGGUGAAGCCUCCAUUGGCCUGGAGGAAAAGGGGUUUUAAACCAUGGGCCCACAAUUAAAUACAUUACAUAUAUAUAUGAAAACGGGAUCCUAAAACCCAUUCUGUAUAAUUAAUAUAUGCUAACAAAAUUUUAAAAAGACUAAGUAAAAAAUUCUUUCAAAUUAAGUUUACAUUUUUUUAUGGUGUGUGUGGGACAAGUGUGUGGAGGUCAGAGGUCAACUUUCCUCCUACCGUGGGUCUGAGGAUUGAACAGGGUUACAAAGCAAGUGCUUUUACCUGCCAAGGCUGAGCCAUCCAGAUGGCUGCAAUGUUCUUUCAUCCUCCAGCAAGAGAAACAGAUAAAAGGACCUCUCUCACGUUGGGCUGCCUACGUUGCUGAAAGCAGGGUCCAAAUCAAUAAUGGGAACUCCUUGGGACCCUGAUCAUAGCUCCUGUAUGGCUGCUGAGGUCCUGGGAAAAGCAGGCACUCUGAAUCUGUUUGGAAGAUUUCUCAGAAUGACAGGGUCUCAGGCCGUCCAGGCUGACCUCUCCUUUGCCAUGUACCCAAGGAUGAACCUCAACUUCUGAUUCUUUUGCUUCCACUGUCCAAGUACCAGGAUUACAGGAGUGUGUCACCAUUCCUGAGUUUAUGACGUGCUGGGCUUUGUGCUAGACAGGCGUACUACCACCUGAGUUGUGUAUGUUUUAAAUCUUCCAGAAAACCAACACGUGGUAUUUCAUGGUUUCAAUGUUUUAAAGACUUUUACUUAAAAGAUGUACUUUUGUGUCUGCAUGUAUGUACGUGUACCAAGUACAUGCCUGGUGACCUUGGAAGCCAGAAAGAGGAUGUCAGAUCCCCUGGAACUGGAGUUACAGAUGGUUUUGAGCUGCCAUGUGGGUGCUGGGAAUAGAACUCAGGUCCUCUGCAAGAGCACCAAGUGCCCUUAACCACUGAGCCACCUCUCCUGUCCCUUGUUUCUAUUAUUUUAAAUUGAAUGAGUCUGUGUGAGGGCAUAUGCACCUGAGUGAAGCACCACCUUCCAGCCAGGGUCCAGUGUUUUAAUUGUCAACCCCGAAUUUCUACAUAUGUAAAGACUUGUGGAACUUGGGACUGGAGAGAUGGUUCUGUGGUUAAGAACACACACUGCCCUUACACAGGACCCAAAUGAAGUUCCCGGCACCCAAGUCAGGCAGCUCACAAUUGCCUGUAACUCCAGCUCCAGACAGCUCUGAUGCCUCUGGCUGCUGCUGGCACCUGUACUCACAUUCACAUACCCACACACAGACACACACAGACACAAAACUAAAAAUAAAAUAAACCGUAAAGAACUGUGGAAUUUAUACUUUGGGUCAACAGCUCUUCUCUCUUCCCUGUAUCCGUGUUCCCCUCAUUUCUCUUCUCGACCUCUUUAGGCCAUUAGAUAGCUAGAUUGGUUCAUAAGGUGUCCACACCAGGCGCUGUCUCAUUACUGGGAGGUGCUUGGCUACUUACCAAUGAUUAGGAAACAGUCUUUCUCUAUAAUAUAGCCACAAUGCAGUCUGGGAGACCAGAGGUAGCCUGAAAAUAGAUCUUUGAAUCAUGACUAAUGCCUUGUAGUUAAAUCUGUUUCCCUAAGAGGGAGGAAGAAUGGAAUGGAAUUCCCUCUGAGUAUUUCUGAGCCUUCUGUUGGGAGGCCCCCCUCCAUAGGCAAACACCUUUCUGGAGCUUGUCUUCCAAAGGACGGUGACUUGCUCUUCCUUCCCCUGGAUCAGGAGGGAGGUGGCCCCCACGGCUCUCAGGCUUCUGCGGCUGCCAGAAGAGAUGCCUCCAAUACAUGCUCCCCAGCCCCCUUGCCUGAAGGCUUCUCUGGAGCCUCUACACCCAACACCUUCCCCUGAACCUUGCCUCUCCAGCAAGGUAUAAGUGGAGAGGGGAGCACAGUUUACAUGGAUGUGCGUUUUACCACCUCUGACUUGUUCAGCUGGAAGGCACAUACCCAAGGUCUGCGGCAGACCCAGGAGGAUGCUAUCCUUACCGCUUACCUUCUUAGAGGGACAGAGAUCUGCUCUCCUCUCCCCUCUUCUGACAGGAGUCAGCUGUGCUGGCGGAAUGGCGAUUUCUUGAGAGGAACAUCUUUCUGGCUGGCUGCCUGCCUAAAACUACCAUUUCCUGCCACCUGGGGUUGUUGUAAAGUGUGGCUAUGUCCCACCUGUUUCUCAAUCUUAUUAUGUGAAAGCCUCUGGGGUAAGAAAGAUGGCUGGACCCAGGUGCCCACGAAGCUCUGGUUCUCCUUUCAACAGAGAAAAAGCCAUGCACUCCCUUUCCUCGGGAGUCUGGGGUCACAGUAUGUCCCUCUUAAGCUGGAGUCUGGGGUGGCAGUAUGUCCCUCCUGAGCUGGAGUCUGGGGUGCAGUAUGUCCCUCCUGAGCUGGAGUCUGGGGUAUGUCCCUCCUGAGCUGGAGUCUGGGGUGCAGUAUGUCCCUCCUGAGCUGGAGUCUGGGGUGCAGUAUGUCCCUCCUGAGCUGGAGUCUGGGGUGCAGUAUGUCCCUCCUGAGCUGGAGUCUGGGGUAUGUCCCUCCUGAGCUGGCUGUCCUUAUCCUCUCCUUUUCACCUCCCAUUAUACACGGGCCCUGAGCAGCAGCCUUCUCUCUGAAAUAACUGGUAACCCAGCCAUUGUGACUGUCCUCUGGUAACUGCCAUCUUGCAGAGUUCAGUCUCACCCCCUUGCAAAAGCUCCUCCCAGCUAGGUUUGUUGAUGGGUCAUGCCCUCUUGGAUGGUUAGGAAGAGUCACAUGACCCUCACCUGGGUACCCAGUUCUUGCUUACUAGACCUUUGUACACAACUGUCUUACCUGCAUGUAGCCUGGGGGAGGGGCUAGCUACAUGGGUUGGGGGAGUCUAGGGAAGGGGAACUCCAUCUAGGUAGCUACAAGGAAGUCCUCCCCUCUGCUGGGUGGAGGCUUUCCAGGUGCAGUGUUUUGGGUUUUUUUGGGGAGGGGGCAUCCCCCCCAUAAGUACCCUAAGUUUUGUAAUGAAGCUCAGUGAACACAUUGCUUUCCCACAGUAACUUUGGUGGAAGCCUGCCUUAGGUUGACAUUGGAACCUUAAGAAUUUUAGCAACACCAGUCUUUUUUUUUUUUUUUUUUUUUUUAAGACUCUCUCU